GAAGACUCACUCUGCGGCCUGCUGCAACACCAAGCACAGGGAUUUUUCCCAUCUGCCACAGAAAUGUGCCAGGGACUGGCACUACUUUGACCUAUCAAAGUGGCAGAGUUGCUUGGGGAAAAAAGC